CUAUCUGGCACAGGUCUGGUUGCUUGGCACCAGCCAACAGCACAUGAGGCACCUGGACCUGCUGUGAUUCAAACGUAGACCUGAAGUGACAGUUGGUGUCUCCCAGCGCAGAGACCUGAGAGGAGCUGCUGUAUCUGAGCCUCUUCCAACAGUCCUGUUGACCUUUCCAGAGUCCAAUUUGCGAGUAUUAUUGCUACCAUGCAAUUUUUUGUGGUUCCCCAACCUGUGACAUUUUUACCAGUCCAUCAGGCUACCAAGUACCAAUAUGUUCAUGGUGCCUCAUCCCAAAGACAUAUCGAGGGAGCUGCACAUACCUUGGACACAUAUAAUGGCAACUCUUUAAAUACUACCUGGCCACAAGUGGUUUCUGCACAGGAUUCUUUGCGUUACUAUGAGCCCCUACACCCAGUCACUGCCUGUCCUGAGGCCCUCACAAGGUAUGGCUGGCAUCAAAGGCCUCAUACAGGACCAUACUGGCCGUGUAAUUCAUUGGUGCAGACACCAUACAGCGCCCAAAGAGGCAAUAUCGAACCAAAGGAUAUGACUGGGCAUGCUCAGCACCCUGGACUGACACAGAUGCUUUAUAUUCCACCUACUGAGAGCCAGGUCACCAGGGGACAAAUGCAGCAGCAGUGGUUGUCCAGUAUGAAGAAGACAGCACCCGGCCAUAUCAAUCCUAUACCUGCAAGAUCUGUGAUGGAGUCUCUUCCCAGUGACCUCCUUUCUCCUGACUACACAGAUCCUGAUGUCUCCAUGAUGAUUGCCAGCAUGGAUUAUUUCUAUAAUGUCAGCACAUAUGAAAUCACAAAUAUGGUUGCCUCAAACACCAGCAGUGACCCAUGUAAAUAAACAUCUUAUUGUAUUUAU